UUUGUGUGGCUUUUUUUUCUAAAUGUACAUGUAUAAACUACACAUGUACAUUUAGAAAAAAAAGCCACACAAA